CGGGGUGAGUAACACGUGAGCAACCUGCCUUUCAGUGGGGGACAACAGUUGGAAACGACUGCUAAUACCGCAUAACGUGCCGGAAGGGCAUCCUUUUGGUACCAAAGAUUUAUCGCUGAAAGAUGGGCUCGCGUCUGAUUAGAUAGUUGGUGAGGUAACGGCCCACCAAGUCGACGAUCAGUAGCCGGACUGAGAGGUUGAUCGGCCACAUUGGGACUGAGACACGGCCCAGACUCCUACGGAAGGCAGCAG
rnacentral:rRNA from 1 species